CUAAAAAGCGUUAUGGAGUAAAAUAACUUGUAAAAAUAUGUUAUUGUACGUUAGUCAUGCUAGAAAAUAAAAUCGUUGCAAAUCUGAUUCAAUCUUGGAUUUUAAUCUCGUCGGAGACUGUUGUUGAUCGAAAAAAAAUAUGUGUAUAUGUGUAAUUAAACGUAGGAACCUUACUUUUGUUUACGUGUUUACUGCCGUGGCGGUACAGAAGUAUGGAUAAAUGCUAACAACUUUUCCUUUUUAAUAUUACGCCAAGAUUUAUAUAUUUACUCGUUGUACUCUGUGGCUUCAACCGUCAUACCAUGCUGUGCAUCGUAUUGCAUCGGAACAUUUGACAUUCAGAACUAUAUAUACAGUCGAGCCUUUUAUUUGCGAAGGAUACAGAAAAUCUACACAAGCCAAUCGCACACUUCCGUUCCGAUGCAUGUGUGCGAAACCUUUGUAUUGAAAGUGUUUGUUCUGUGGCUAUUUGGAAGUUCAACGCUUUAGUAUGCAGUUCCUCCACUAUUCGAGAUGGCGAUAGCUAUUUUGCUUGGGAUUUACAUUUGCCCGUCUUUCCAUUAAACCUUAGGGUCCUUGAAAAUAAGAACGUACCAAUUCUUAAAAGGCCAGCGAAGCACAUGCGAGCGCUCUAGCAAUGGUUUCUUAUUUUACAAUUUAACCAAUAAAUAGUCAGUCGUCGUCAACACUGUCAAAAAUAUAUGAAAGAUUUAGCAA